UUAAUAUUCAUAUAAAUUAUAAUGUUUGUAGAAAAAAUUUGGAAGUGAAGUUUAUGGAGUACAUUAACAUUUACUUGUGAAAAUUUUUUUAUUGACUUUAUGCAAUAUAACAUAAGAAGAAAUCUGUUUGAAAAUGUUGGGUGUAGUUUUGAGGCAUUCUAUACUUCCUAAAGUUUUAUUGACUGAACCACGAUCUAUUUAUGGAAUAACACAAAAAUACUUAAAAAAUGAUAAAGAUAUAUUAUCAACAGCAUUGAUUGUUAGAACAUUUCUAACAAAAUAUACAAGAUUAGUGCAACCAGCAAAUUUCCUUAAAUCUAGCAGAUUACCAGGAAGUUUAUUAGUACGACAAGGACAAACAUUACAAUUGGACGUAAAUUUAAAUGUACGGAAUAAUGUUCUUAUAUACAAAUAUGAAAAUGAUAGAUAUUUUCGAAUGUUACGAAUGUUUGCCAUUGGACAGUUAUUUGGCUGGUCAAUAUUGGCUCUCUAUACUUAUUCACCAACUUUCCUUGAAAUAUUCAACACUGACGUAAAGUUUAAAAAUUAUAUAAGAUAUAAUGGAUUGCGGCUUUUCACUUUUAUUUUUUCGGCUGUUGUAGGUCCUAUCAUGUAUGCUUUCAUUCAUUUUUUAUGCGCUCGUAAUAUCAAGUAUAUGAUUUUACAUAAAGGUGGUAAAACAAUUUCAAUUACUACUCAUCACUUGUGGAAAAAAUGCUGCAUGAAUUUACCAAUAGAAAUGGUAAAGAGUGUUUCACAUAGAACAGAUCGUGGAGUGGUUGUACCACUCAAACUAAAAAAUAAACGUUUUCACUAUGCGCUUGAUAAAAAGGGCACAUUCGUAAAUCCAAACCUUUUUGAUCACAUAGUGGGAUGAUUAUUCAAUUUUAGGAGUGCUGUAGAACCAACACGUCCUUGCCAGUAAUGGGUCCAAUAUAGAUCUUCUGGAUUGAUAUCGUUAUAGAAUACUACAUAGAAAUCACAUGGAAAAACUUAUUGCGCAAUACGCUUACCAAACAACUAAUGGUUGGAAAAAUUGUAUGACGAUAACGAAGCCCAGAGUGACCAGAAUCAGACCAAGAUUCAGAAGUAACAUGAGGCAA